rnacentral:rRNA from 1 species
CGACAGCAAUAUGAAGGUCAGGCUGAAGACCUUACCCGAUUAGCUGAGAGGUGGUGCAUGGCCGUCGUCAGUUCGUACUGUGAAGCAUCCUGUUAAGUCAGGCAACGAGCGAGACCCACGCCCACAGUUGCCAGCAUACCCUCCGGGGUGAUGGGUACACUGUGGAGACCGCCGCUGCUAAAGCGGAGGAAGGAGUGGGCAACGGUAGGUCAGUAUGCCCCGAAUCUCCCGGGCUACACGCGGGCUACAAUGGUUGGUACAAUGGGCAUCUACCCCGAAAGGGGAAGGAAAUCUCUUAAAGCCAAUCGUAGUUCGGAUUGAGGGCUGCAACUCGCCCUCAUGAAGCUGGAAUCCGUAGUAAUCGCGUUUCAACAGAACGCGGUGAAUACGUCCCUGCUCCUU